GACGAACGCUGGCGGCGUGCUUAACACAUGCAAGUCGAACGCUGAAGCCCAGCUUUUGUUGGGUGGAUUAGUGGCGAACGGGUGAGUAACACGUGAGUAACCUGCCCCCUUCUUUGGGAUAACGCCCUGAAACGGGUGCUAAUACUGGAUAUUCACUGUCCUUCUCAUGGGGGUUGGUGGUAAGUGUUUUUCUGGUGGGGGAUGGGGUCGCGGCCGAUCAGCUUGUUGGUGGGGUGAUGGCCUACGAAGGCUUUGACGGGUAGCAGGCCUGAGCGGGUGACUGGUCAGAUUGGGAGUGAGAUACGGCCCAGACUGAUACAGGAGGCAGAAGUGGAGAGUAAGGAGCAGUGGGCGCAAGUGUGAUGCAGCGGAGCGGCGGGAGGGAUGGAGGCGCGUGGGUUGUGAAGGUCUUUGGCUCAUGGUGAAGCCGUAACAAUGGUUGUGGUGAGGGUAGUGGGUAAAGAAGCGCCGGCUAACUACGUG
rnacentral:rRNA from 1 species